GAUGAACGCUGGCGGCGUGCCUAAUACAUGCAAGUCGAGCGAACAGACGAGGAGCUUGCUCCUUUGACGUUAGCGGCGGACGGGUGAGUAACACGUGGGUAACCUACCUAUAAGACUGGGAUAACUUCGGGAAACCGGAGCUAAUACCGGAUAAUAUUUCGAACCGCAUGGUUCGAUAGUGAAAGAUGGCUUUGCUAUCACUUAUAGAUGGACCUGCGCCGUAUUAGCUAGUUGGUAAGGUAACGGCUUACCAAGGCAACGAUACGUAGCCGACCUGAGAGGGGGAUCGGCCACACUGGAACUGAGACACGGUCCAGACUCCUACGGGAGGCAGCAGUAGGGAAUCUUCCGCAAUGGGCGAAAGCCUGACGGAGCAACGCCGCGUGAGUGAUGAAGGUCCUCGGAUCGUAAAACUCUGUUAUUAGGGAAGAACAAACGUGUAAGUAACUGUGCACGUCUUGACGGUACCUAAUCAGAAAGCCACGGCUAACUACGUG
rnacentral:rRNA from 1 species